rnacentral:lncRNA from 1 species
GAGGCAUCCACAGCCUGGGGCUCCUUCCUCCUGCCUGGAGUUUGCUUUCCUAUGCCCAGGCCCCAAGCAGGAGGACUGGCUCUGCCUCGAGUCCUCACCCCUUCUUCUUUCCCUGCUGUGUCCAGCUGGUUUCUUACUUUCCUCCUACCUAUGCUAUGCCCAGUUCUGUUUCCUCUUCUUCUUCCCCCAGGCUGGCUGAAAACUAAGUUUCAAAAUACAAAAUGCAUGCUACAGAUUUCAUUGCUGUAGAUGAAAUGCUGACAGCUUUUCUAUUUAAACUCUGGUUGUUCUCUUCAUUUCUUUAAACAUUAGAAUAAUUAAGCCUCAUGAUAGAUGUGCCUUUGUAACUUGAAAGUAUGACCCUCAAUUUUCACAAUUUAAAAAAAUUUUUUAAUUUUUCUUUUCAUAAAUUUUUGGCAAACAGGUAGUAUUUAGUUAUUGAGUAACUCCUUUAGUGGAGAUUUGUGAGAUUUUGUUGCACCCAUCACCCAAGCAGUACACAUGGAAUCCAGUUUGUAGUCUCUUAUCUUUCUCCCCCUUCCCACCGUUUUCCCCCGAGUAUCAUUCUUUUUUUUGAGACUGAGUCUUAUUCUGUCACCCAGGCUGGAAUGCUAUGUCGCGACGUCAGCUCGCUGCAACCCUUGCUUCCCGAAUUCAUGUGAUCCUCCUGCUUCAGCCUCCCAAGUAGCUGGGAUUAGAGGCGUGGGUCACGACGCCCAACUAAAUUUUUUGUAUUUUUAGUCGUGACUGGGUUUCACCAAAUUGGCCAGUCUGUUCUCGAACUCCUGACCUCAAGUGAUCUGCCUGCCUUGGCCUCCCCUAGGGCUGGGAUUAUAAGAAUGAGCCACCAGAACCCAGCCAAACUUCCCCCCACCCCGCCUUUUUGUUUUGUUUUGGUUUUUUCUAAUCUCCUGAAGUCAUUCUUUGAGUUGUCAUGUAGAUUAAUGGGUUUCUCAAACUACUAGAAAACUAGUUGAAGAAAUAAACAGGCAGUUUGUGAAUAUUAAACAGAACAGUGGUGCUGAGCAUGGCUAAAGCAUCUCUGCAUUCACAGGGAGAGGAGCGGAAGACCUUCUGGUGUGGGCUGGGCAGCAAUUCACUUGAAGGAGAAACAGCCCGGGUGUGGAGAGGCGGCUGUCCUUGGAGGGAUCCUUUCUAAGGAGCCGAGAAAUCAACGUAGAGCUUCCUCUAUCUGAUUCUCUAACAACUGCAGACCUUCCAUGAGUCAAGCUUUGUGUCAAAAGGACAAAUUAAAAGGACCUAUAAAAGGCAUCACCAAGCCCAGUGGACAGAUGCCCCAGGCUGCACAUUCUGUCAGUGCUGUUCUGGAAAAGGCCCAAACACAUGCUGAAACAUGGAAGGUAAAACCAGCAAGCAGCUGACUACAUUCCAUCCAGCCGUCCCCCAAAACCCAUGUUCUCAACCAUUCGCAUUGUUCCAAUAACUGCUCUUUUAAAAAGAGAAAACAGGCUAGGUACGGUGGCUCACGCCUGUAAUCCCAGCACUUUGGGAGGCCGAAACAGGAGAAUUGCUUGAGCUCCAGAGUUCCAGACCUGCCUGGGCAACAGAACAAGGGCUCAUCUCUACUAGAAGUCAAAAAAUUAGCCAGCUGUGGUGGCGUGCACCUGUGGUCCUAGCUACUUGGCUGGCUGAGGUGUGUGAAUUGCUUGAGCCCAGGAUUUCAAGGCUGCAGUGAGCUGUGAUCACACCACUGCACUCCAGCCUACAUGAUAGAUAAAGACUUUGUCUUAAAAAAAGAAAAAAAAGAUAAAAAAGGGUUACACUAAAAAUGUGCAUUUUCUAUUUUCCCCAUUAAUGUCCUACAUACAUCCCCAGGGUGAUGGAGGAGAAAAUACAUUUUAAAAUAAUAGCCAAUAGGUAUGACAUCCUCCAUAACAUUUUUUUCAACCAAAUAGAUCAAUGAGGAUUCACUUAAAUCUAUCUUAAAAUCAUAGCUAAUAAUUAUGAUUUAGUUACUUACCUAGUUCAAAACCUCUCAGUUGACUGUAUAAAUUCUCUUGACUAUUUCUCAUGUGUGAUUCAAAACAACCUUAAAUAACUGUGACAAUAGCAUAUCACCCAGCUAGGACAGGCAGGAUGCUUCACUUUAGCAAUUUUUCACUUCUUUCACCCCUUCAUGUUGUCCAUCAGUCAGUUAUGAAAACAACUAAAUCUUUGUAUUUAUUGAACUUCUUAUAAUUUUGACAACCACUGCAGGCCUGUAAAAGUUGUAUUUCUUUAAUGUUCUCUUUAUCUUCUCAUGCCUGCGCUUCUCAUGCAAUGCCCUUUCAGCUAUUAUUAUUUUCAUUAUUUUUGUAGUGCCAAUUGAAGGAAAGCAUUUUAAAAUGCUGAAAGAAAUAAAAGAAACCCAAAAUAGAAAUCACUUAACUAUAUGUGAACAUCAGUACCCAAGCUGCCUGUUCGGAAAUUUUUUAAAAAGGAAAAAGUACAUCACCAGUUAAUUAGCUUAUCAUGCUAAAUGAACAAAAUAAAAUAGAAACUAAAUCAGAAGGCACUUCAUUAGAAAAAAAACUUCCAAAUUUAAUCUUCAGUGGUAACAGGCUAUUAAGCAUAGGAAGAAAUAAACUGGAACCCUGAUGAAAUGUAAAUUGGAAUGACAAUUAUCACUAAAACAGAGGGAUUCAAUCCAGCUGCCUGGGGAUGUUUCAUUAUAUAAAUACAAAUUAUUAUUAUCUAUGCCAGUAUUGGCAGAGGAAGGGCUAUGUCUCUAUUAGACUUUAGCCAAAUUUGGCAUUCUGGUUUCUACCAAUAGCACACUGGUAAUUUUUCUUUUCAGAACUCAUUUAUGUAUCUCAUUUGAUCUCAUCACAACCUGAGACACAGGUCAUAAUAGAGACUUCGGGGCUCAUUUUAUACCCGGUGAACCAGCCAACUUUCAUGCAGUUGAGAAAAGUAUAAGAAGCCAGCCCUCGGGAACCACCAGGAGCCAGGAGCACCCCGGCCCCGCAGGGCCCCAAGUUCAGCCUGCCCCAACCCCUCUGGUGCAGAGUUCCUGGGACACCAUCUGCAGCCCCGCCACGCCCCUCAAAGUCAAGGGCACAGGCGGCUGGGGCUUCCCCGCCCGCCCGACGACUUCCUGCUGCCCCAGCAGCCGCCACAGUCACCACCACGGCCCCUGGACGACCCAGAGCUCCUGCUGCCGCCCCCUGACUUCAUGGAGGCGCCCCAGGACUUCGUGCCCCCUCCCCCUGCUGUCGCCAAGAGGCCUCCUAUGCCCCACCCCCACAAGAGGCACGAAGCAUCAAUGUUCAGAUGCCGCAAAUGAAUAAAAUAAAUGAAUAAAAGUUCAACGUUCUUCCUACGGUAUUUCUAGAAAGAUUACUGGGUCAGUCGAUCUGGAUGUCAAUACUAUAAUUGAAAAUAGCUCCCAGGGAAACCGAAAGAUUGGACACCCCUGCAGGCUAAAUGGAAAUUUAAAAUGAAGCGAAUUUAGUUUUAAAACCAAAAUAUU